AAAGGUUGGGAUGUUAGUCUUCUUUUGAAGGAAUCAAAAGAACAUGCUACGUAUUGUAGAUGGAAAAGAUCAAGUUUUAAGAUGCCAUAAGUUUGUACGUCAUGAUUCUUUAUGUCAAAAUCUUGUGAGCAUGCACUCUGAGAAAGAGACUACUUGAGAGCUCAAGGAUGACAUGACAGUUGAGUACUUUCAAAGUUGAGUUUUAAUAAAUUAAUUUCGAGGACAAAAUUAUUUUAAGAGGAAAAAAUACAGCAACUCAACCUUUGGCCUUGUGGGCAGGCCGAAUAGGCUAGGCCCAAGGCAAAUCAUGCAUGUGGCACAAUGCAGAGAAGAGACUCUGGUUGAAGUCUUCUUCUUGUCCUCCAGCAUUUCUGACUAGGAGUCGGAGUUCUAGACUUGCCGAGACCUCAGGGUGAGAGCUCUCUCCCUCCAAAGCCUCCGCCUCGAACA
rnacentral:lncRNA from 1 species